UACGAAGGGAGCUAGCGUUGUUCGGAUUUACUGGGCGUAAAGCGCACGUAGGCGGGUCGUUAAGUCGAGGGUGAAAUCCUGGAGCUCAACUCCAGAACUGCCUUCGAAACUGACGAUCUUGAGUUCGGGAGAGGUGAGUGGAACUGCGAGUGUAGAGGUGAAAUUCGUAGAUAUUCGCAAGAACACCAGUGGCGAAGGCGGCUCACUGGCCCGAUACUGACGCUGAGGUGCGAAAGCGUGGGGAGCAAACAGG
rnacentral:rRNA from 1 species